CACUAUCGUUAACUGAAUACAUAGGUUAACGAGGCGAACCGGGGGAACUGAAACAUCUAAGUACCCCGAGGAAAAGAAAUCAACCGAGAUUCCCCCAGUAGCGGCGAGCGAACGGGGAGCAGCCCAGAGUCUGAAUCAGCUUGUGUGUUAGUGGAACGGUCUGGAAAGUCCGACGGUACAGGGUGAUAGUCCCGUACACCAAAAUGCACAGGCUGUGAACUCGAAGAGUAGGGCGGGACACGUGGUAUCCUGUCUGAAUAUGGGGGGACCAUCCUCCAAGGCUAAAUACUCCUGACUGACCGAUAGUGAACCAGUACCGUGAGGGAAAGGCGAAAAGAACCCCGGCGAGGGGAGUGAAAAAGAACCUGAAACCGUGUACGUACAAGCAGUGGGAGCACCUUCGGGUGUGACUGCGUACCUUUUGUAUAAUGGGUCAGCGACUUAUAUUCUGUAGCAAGGUUAACCGUAUAGGGGAGCCGCAGGGAAACCGAGUCUUAACUGGGCGUUAAGUUGCAGGGUAUAGACCCGAAACCCGGUGAUCUAGCCAUGGGCAGGUUGAAGGUUGGGUAACACUAACUGGAGGACCGAACCGACUAAUGUUGAAAAAUUAGCGGAUGACUUGUGGCUGGGGGUGAAAGGCCAAUCAAACCGGGAGAUAGCUGGUUCUCCCCGAAAGCUAUUUAGGUAGCGCCUCGUGAACUCAUCUUCGGGGGUAGAGCACUGUUUCGGCUAGGGGGUCAUCCCGACUUACCAACCCGAUGCAAACUACGAAUACCGAAGAAUGUUAUCACGGGAGACACACGGCGGGUGCUAACGUCCGUCGUGAAGAGGGAAACAACCCAGACCGCCAGCUAAGGUCCCAAAGUCAUGGUUAAGUGGGAAACGAUGUGGGAAGGCACAGACAGCCAGGAUGUUGGCUUAGAAGCAGCCAUCAUUUAAAGAAAGCGUAAUAGCUCACUGGUCGAGUCGGCCUGCGCGGAAGAUGUAACGGGGCUAAACCAUGCACCGAAGCUGCGGCAGCGACACUAUGUGUUGUUGGGUAGGGGAGCGUUCUGUAAGCCUGCGAAGGUGUGCUGUGAGGCAUGCUGGAGGUAUCAGAAGUGCGAAUGCUGACAUAAGUAACGAUAAAGCGGGUGAAAAGCCCGCUCGCCGGAAGACCAAGGGUUCCUGUCCAACGUUAAUCGGGGCAGGGUGAGUCGACCCCUAAGGCGAGGCCGAAAGGCGUAGUCGAUGGGAAACAGGUUAAUAUUCCUGUACUUGGUGUUACUGCGAAGGGGGGACGGAGAAGGCUAUGUUAGCCGGGCGACGGUUGUCCCGGUUUAAGCAUGUAGGCUGAUUGUCCAGGCAAAUCCGGAUAAUCAAGGCUGAGGUGUGAUGACGAGGCACUACGGUGCUGAAGUAACAAAUGCCCUGCUUCCAGGAAAAGCCUCUAAGCAUCAGGUAACAUUAAAUCGUACCCCAAACCGACACAGGUGGUCAGGUAGAGAAUACCAAGGCGCUUGAGAGAACUCGGGUGAAGGAACUAGGCAAAAUGGUGCCGUAACUUCGGGAGAAGGCACGCUGGUGUGUAGGUGAAGUCCCUGCGGAUGGAGCUGAGACCAGUCGAAGAUACCAGCUGGCUGCAACUGUUUAUUAAAAACACAGCACUGUGCAAACACGAAAGUGGACGUAUACGGUGUGACGCCUGCCCGGUGCCGGAAGGUUAAUUGAUGGGGUUAUCCGUAAGGAGAAGCUCUUGAUCGAAGCCCCGGUAAACGGCGGCCGUAACUAUAACGGUCCUAAGGUAGCGAAAUUCCUUGUCGGGUAAGUUCCGACCUGCACGAAUGGCGUAAUGAUGGCCAGGCUGUCUCCACCCGAGACUCAGUGAAAUUGAACUCGCUGUGAAGAUGCAGUGUACCCGCGGCAAGACGGAAAGACCCCGUGAACCUUUACUAUAGCUUGACACUGAACAUUGAGCCUUGAUGUGUAGGAUAGGUGGGAGGCUUUGAAGCGUGGACGCCAGUCUGCGUGGAGCCAACCUUGAAAUACCACCCUUUAAUGUUUGAUGUUCUAACGUUGGCCCCUGACCGGGGUUGCGGACAGUGUCUGGUGGGUAGUUUGACUGGGGCGGUCUCCUCCCAAAG
rnacentral:rRNA from 1 species